UCAGAACCUAUAGCACCACAGGUGGUGAUAGUGACUAAAAUAAAGUAAGGAGGAGGUAUGGGAGAUGCUAAGGCCGAGGGCAAGGUGAUCGUAAGUGGAGAAGGUGCAGGAAGGCCUCCCAGAGAAUGACAGUCGUGUGGAGCUCAAGGCUGCCUCAUAACCCAAGUACAGCUUCGCCGACAGCGUGUGCCGACACGGACGAAUGUUGCCAGCCCCGGAGGCUCACAGCCCUGGUGUCCGAGGUGUCCCUGGCAUCAGCGACAUAGGUGUGGAGCACCAGCCGGCCCGACCUUAAUGCGUCCUCUCCAACCACAGAGGCCAGACUUGUACAGUGGUCCAAUCCCAGCAUUCACCAUGAACCACAUUGUCAGCAUCAGCGAUCUGAUAUGCCCGAGUAUGGAAAGACACCACUGUCAAGCAGAAUAUCUCAAGCACUUCCUUUGGAAUGGGCAAGACCUACAGAUUUCCACCGCCCCCGCCGCCACCAGCACCGCCCCUUGGUGCGGGGGACUGAACCCAAGGCUUCUCACAGGCUCAGCACCUGCUCUACCACCCAGCUCCACCUGCAGCUCAAACAGACGAUCCGGAGCCACGGACAGCCGCUCCGCCAGUGCACAGUGACCCUGACUUGCUUCUGAGCCUCCCCGCCUGAGCCUCAGCUUCCUUAUCUGUAAAGCGGCUGUCCUAAGUGGACUUCCCUCAGCACUUCUGAGACCUAAAAGAGGUCACGUUAUUUUUAUCUGUGCCUCUACACCUUCCUUCUUCCACUCCAGGCAUUUCUGUCCUCUCGCAUUCCAGCGCUCACCUUGGCACCGCGAGUGAGCCGUCGGCGUGUGUGGGUUCACAGCGCCUCCUGGCGGCCGGGAGAGUCACUCGCUCCUGGACAAAUUAGCUAUUUAGCAAGAGCUCA